ensembl:lncRNA
GUUAAGGUAUCAGUUAGGGUUAGGUUCAGGUAUCAGUUAGGGUUAGGUUAAGGUAUCAGUUAGGGUUAGGUUAAGGUAUCAGUUAGGGUUAGGUUCAGGUAUCAGUUAGGGUUAGGUAAACGUAUCAGUUAGGGUUAGGUUAAGGUAUCAGUUAGGGUUAGGUUCAGGUAUCAGUUAGGGUUAGGUAAACGUAUCAGUUAGGGUUAGGUUAAGGUUGUACAAUGUUAGGGUUAGGUUAACGUUGUACAAUGUUAGGGUUAGGUUAACGUUGUACCAUCUGAGGGUUAGGGUUAGGUUAACGUUGUGCCUUGUUAGGGUUAGGGUUUGGUUAACAUUGUGCCUUGUUAGGGUUAGUUGUGUGCUAAUCAUGCAGAUUGACAUGCCUAGCAUCAUUUAGCGGCCGAUUGAGUUGCAGAAUAACCUCAGUGACUUUGACCACACAGCAUCAGAGACACAGCGUGAGAGAAGGUGCCCUGAUCACAUUCUUAACUAAUGAGUUAGCAUUAAUCUGGAUACGGUUACCGCUGGGUCAGACCGCGCAGCGGAGAAGAACAAUCAGGA